UCCCAAGUGGAGAGUCCAUGGGUCCAUGU
rnacentral:piRNA from 1 species